AGAGUUUGAUCCUGGCUCAGAGCGAACGCUGGCGGCAGGCUUAACACAUGCAAGUCGAACGGGCGUAGCAAUCCGUCAGUGGCAGACGGGUGAGUAACGCGUGGGAACGUACCUUUUGGUUCGGAACAACUGAGGGAAACUUCAGCUAAUACCGGAUAAGCCCUUACGGGGAAAGAUUUAUCGCCGAAAGAUCGGCCCGCGUCUGAUUAGCUAGUUGGUGAGGUAAUGGCCCACCAAGGCGACGAUCAGUAGCUGGUCUGAGAGGAUGAUCAGCCACAUUGGGACUGAGACACGGCCCAAACUCCUACGGGAGGCAGCAGUGGGGAAUAUUGGACAAUGGGCGCAAGCCUGAUCCAGCCAUGCCGCGUGAGUGAUGAAGGCCCUAGGGUUGUAAAGCUCUUUUGUGCGGGAAGAUAAUGACGGUACCGCAAGAAUAAGCCCCGGCUAACUUCGUGCCAGCAGCCGCGGUAAUACGAAGGGGGCUAGCGUUGCUCGGAAUCACUGGGCGUAAAGGGUGCGUAGGCGGGUUUUUAAGUCAGGGGUGAAAUCCUGGAGCUCAACUCCAGAACUGCCUUUGAUACUGAAAGUCUUGAGUACGGGAGAGGUGAGUGGAACUGCGAGUGUAGAGGUUAUGC
rnacentral:rRNA from 1 species